UCUGCUGAUCUUGGAGUGAGUGAAGAUGAGGAUUUGAAGAGGCCAAACUGCAAUGGUACUCUUUUAGGUAAGUAGGAGACUGCCUAAUCCUAGAAGAUCUUCUAAGGUGCUGAGUAGGAGAAAGGUUGGGCAGUGGCACAGUUUUGGAAGAAGGUGUGGGAUUGAGCCUAGAAGAUCUCCGAAGGGGCUGAAUAUUGGUAGGCUGAUUUGGCAUUGCUGGUGCAAGAGAGAGUGAAGGAGACUGAGGGAAAUAAACUGAGUUAUGGGGUGUGCCAUCAUGCGUGCCAGUGGGUGUGCCACUUGAGACAAAUUCUUCAGCAUAGGGUGCAGUAAUGGUGUUAGGACUAAUUGGAAGUGAGUAUUCAGGGACAACAACUGAUGAGGGAAGAAAUAUAGUGUCACAAGAUGAAAAUGG
rnacentral:lncRNA from 1 species